UCCCAUCAAAAUUUCGGAGCGCCGCCGCCGCGCCGACCGCUUCAGCCAGCUCCGCCUCAGCCUGGCCCAGCCGCCGUCCUCAGCGUCCGGCCACGCCGUCGUCCGCCGCGUCCCCCGCCGCGCCUCGGCUCCUCCGCGGCCGGCGUCCAGGGCGGGCUGGCGUGCCGCGCGCCAUGCACGGCCGGCGUCCAGGGCGCCCGGCCUGCCGCGUGCCGCGGCCGGCUUGGGCAGUCAGGGGUGGGCCAAGCGGGCCCUCCGGCGUGGGCGGGAGCCGUGCGCCUCGCCCUGUGUGCGGUGCCCGGCGCCGCCGCCGUAUGCUGCCGCCGUUGGCGCACGGCCUUGCCGGGAGCCGUGCGCCGAGCCGCGCGUGCGGUUCCCUGCGCCGCCGCCGUGAGGUGCCGCCGUGGCCCUCCGGACUGGCGGGAGCCCUGCGCGGCCGGCCUGAGCUCCCGCCGUAAGGCACCUUCGGCGUUCGCCGUGCGGCGAGCCGUGCGGCUUGCGGCCUGGGCAUCCGGCCUGCUCGGAGGGCCUCCGCCUCCCGACGGAGACGGCGGGGAGGACGCUCGAGUAGCUCCCGUCCAGGGUCGUCGCUGUCGUGCCGCGCGGGAAGGGCGAGGACGAGUUCGGCGAGGAGGCGUGGACCAAGGAUAAAUCUAUAUCAGGAUUUAUAUCCUAUGCUCUCUGUGCAGCUGAUGAGGCUUUGAAGGUGCAAAUUGGUUGCCUUCAGAAGAUGAGAAGAAAGAAAAAAUGGGAGUCUCUAUUGGUGGAGGCAUUGGAAGCAUCUCAAACAUUUUAGAUGCAUCACAAAUGACAUUGAAAAUGUCUGUAUCCUUACUCCUGCAUUUAUCUUUUCUGGUUGCAAAUUUUAUUUUAGUAGCUAUUCAUAUGUGAUGGUGAUGUCGAUGUGAUGGUGGCUGGUGGAACAGAGUCCACUAUCGAUGCUUUGUCUAUAUGUGGAUUUGAAAAUAGUAGUUUGUAUACUUUUGUGACUGAAAAAUGGCUUGAAUGCUUCAGUAACGUAAUUAGGUGCAACUGUUAAGUGUGAGGAUUGUAGAAAGCCAUAGAGAAUCCACUUUUAUGUUCAGAAAUAAACAUGACGAAUAAAUAGCCUAUGCAGACUUGGUCACCUGCAUAUUUGCUUUUUGCCCACUGUUUUCGUGAUUGAUAUGUAGCUCCUUUGAUAUGUAGCUCCCAUCUUGAUUUUGUGCAAGGUUGCAGAUCUGUUGGUUCCUGGGUUCUUAGUGUGGUGCUGGUUCGGAUUCCCCUGCUGCUUGUUCUGUAUAUACAAACCUCCCCCCACCCCCUCCUGUGAUGUCUUGUGCUAAUCUGAGUAUAUGUCCAUGCCUAUAAUCUGUUCAUGUAUAUAUGGCAGUGAUGUUUUUUCAGCUGUCUAUGCCUAUGAAAUUUUCCUAAUCUGUACAUGUGGCCAUUACAUUGUUAUUUUUUUUGUUUAUGCAUAUUUCUUCCAUUCAUGUGAUGUUAGUUCCAGUUUAUUUAUCAACUAUCCCAUUGACAUCUAUAUUAAAACACAUUCAAUGUGUGGAAUUGUAUAAAUGGAUUUGCAAGACAAGAGAUGCAAGCUAUUUGCUUGGGCUCCUCAUCUUAUCACAGCCAUGUAUGCAUUCUUUCUGAGUAGAAUUAUGUGAUACUGUGUUAGCACGGGCCAAUUUACUAGUCGACCCACUAAAGCACCAAAGCGAUUUUUGCUUGGUCUACCCCGUCGAUGCCCCCCCCCUGAGAGAGCACCUCUAUGCGCACCAAAAAAUUGUACCCACGCAAUCCCCUACAACACAAAACGGAGGGACCAGAUUUCAUCGGCCUCCAAACGGACGGACGAGAGCAAAAGGCUUCAACGCCGUCCACGUCCACGCGGGCUCCAAAUCCGCUGUAAGCUGCCUUAACGCUACUUUAGUAUCAGGUCCAAAUUUGAAAGUUCUCAAAACCAUUUUAGUACCCUGCCAAGCCACCAGCCGAUACUAAAUUUUGCAUUUUAGUACCAGUCGGUGUUACUUCGAAAUGAAUGCAUCUCCGACUCAGUCACAAGUGAUGCAUAUGUGAGAUGGUAAGGAAACAACAUGUGAAGCCGGAGGUCAUGGGUUCGAAUCCUCAUGAUCGCGCACGCGCAUCUACGCAUGAAAAUUUUGUGUAACUUGGGACUUGGGACGAUGCGCGUGUGUAGGCCUCCAAGGGGUUUGUCAAUUUUUUUUUUGGGCUCAAAACCAUUUAGUACCGGUGCGUGUGACGUCCCAUUUAGUACCGGAAAACCGGUACCGGUCGGGCGCCCGGUACUAAAUAGGGGUUUCCGACCGGUACUAAUAGCCUUUUUCUCUGGCUGUGACCGAACAAGCCCUAAUAUACACUAGGCCGGAAACAAUUUGGCGUGGCGGCCAAAUCGUAUCUGUGCUGGCGGGUGGGAGGCCCGCCAGCACUCGUGUGCCAGCACAAAUGCUGGCGGGCCGCCAGCAGAGUUUGCAUCUGUACUGGCAGACUAUUUAACACGCCCGCCAGCACAAAUUGCCAUCUGUGCUGAUGGGUGGCUUAACUAACCCGCCAGCACAAAUACAAAAAAGAAAAAGAAAGAAGCCCGCUGAGCACAUCACGGGCCCGGCGAGCCCAUCCGCCAUCGGCGUAGGUGUCCGCACGCCCGCCGCGCGCACGGGCGCCGGAUUUGGCAUUGGGAGCAGCCGCGCCCGCCGCUGUGCACGCAGCUGCUGCCCGGGCGCCGCUGCUGGAUCUAGCCUCACCGCCAAGGCCUCGCCCGAGCCUCUACUCGGCCUCGCCUGCGUGCCGUCCCGGCCUCGUCCGGGCUGCCGACCACCGGAUCCAGGCCUGCACCGCCGCUCGACUUCGCCCACGCGCCGUCCCGGCCUCGUCCGGGCUGCCGACCGCCGGAUCCGAGCCAGUGUCGCCGCUCAACCUUGCCCGCGCGCUGUCCCGGCCUCGUCCGGGCCGCCGACCGCCAGAUCCGGGCCCGCGCCGCCACUCCGCCUCGCCCACGAGCCGUCCCGGCCUCGGCCGCGCCGCCGACUGCCGGAUCCCGGCUGUGCCGCUGCCUCACCCUCACCUGCGCGCCGCCGCCUCGUCCUCACCCGCGCGCCGCCAUUCGCGCGCGGGGAGGGAGAAACGGGAGGGGAGGGGAGCCGCGCCGGCGUCCAGCUUCUUGGGCGCAGGGGAAGCGUGCGAAGGGGCGUGGCGGCGGUGGAGGCAGUGGGGGGGGGGGAGAAUGAGACUGAGAUGAAAUCUCAAACCCUAAUAGUAUAUAUAUAUUAGUAAACCUUGGGUAUUCAGUAGUGGAACCCCCAACCCGACCAUCACGCCGAGCUGAGCUCAACCCACCGCCCCGUGGCCGGUUUUCUGUCCGGCCGGUUCCUCCAAACGGUUUUCUUUUUGGUUCCCAGUUCCCAGAUCGUGGCCACGAUCUCACGACACGGUGUCCUGCAGGGAUCCUAAUCUUCCCCCUCGCUCCGCUCCGGUGCCGCGGUGCCACCCUGCGCCUCCCGCUCCGGUGCCGCCCUGCGCUGCCCGCUCCCGGUGAUGCCGCUCCGAUCCUCCCAUCGCCGAUCCGGUGAAUGGCGCCUCCCGCACGCCAGCUACUGGCCAGGCCCUGCGCAUCCUCACAUUCAAGGCUUCCCCGCGUCAGAUCGGGAUUGUGGGUGGUGGUUUCUUCGAUUUCGUCGCCAGGAUAGAGUGCCCUUCGUUCGAUCGGCUACCUCAUGCGGGAUGGGGGCGAGGAUGCAAAGGCGACGGAGACCUGCAGCAGCUCAGCUUCCUCACGGUCUCCUCAAGCUUGCAAUUUCUUCGAAGGUUUUAUCCUCGGAUGGCCCAGAGAGACUUGGCGCGGCGGCGGAGCGUUCCACAGCCACCCACCCGUCUGCUGGUGAGGUCUUCCCAGAUUGAAGAUUGGUGCUUCAAGCAGUCAAUUCUCUUGUUUCUGCUGCCGGCAUCAGUGGCUGCUACAUGACACAACCGACGGCUUUGUUUGGUGGGCAAGCUGACUUCCUCCCUAUGAUGUUGAUGAUACGGAUCAAGCGACGGCCAGUGCAUUAGUCUACUUAGAUGCCGGUGCCAUGUUUUGUGCAAGAACAAGAACAACAACCUCGAACCCAUACUGGACAAAGCACGAGAGUUUACCUCUCACUUGCGUGCAUUGUGAGGACACAAGGAGCUGAUGGGCAAGCUGGUUCAUACCAGCUUUCAGCUUGAGCUCCAAUGUUGUCUCCAUGAACAUCAUGGAGACCAUUGCCAGAGUCUUUGUCGAGCCAUUGAUGUUCAUCAGUUGGGGGUAGGGGAGGUCCACACCAUAAUCUUUUGUGGCAUCUCCUCUAUCCAGCUUCUCAUGGACCAUGGCGAGCUUGGCCAUCGGAAUCAGAGGAUGGAUUCUGGUACGAGGUCAGUGCAUAUGAUGCCUAUCAAUCCGAGGAGAACAAGGUGGUUUAGGAGUCCCAGAUGACUGGGUACACAAGCAACGGUCAGUGCAUAUGAUGCCUAUCAAUCCGAGGAGAACAAGGUGGUUUAGGAGUCCCAGAUGACUGGGGCUAUCCAGAGGAUGGAGGAGGUUCUGCAGCAGGUAAUUCUGGUAUCCAAGUCGAUUGGGGAAACCGAAUUAGAAGCAAAACUUGAGGAGGCAGUCAGCAAGAUCAAGAGGCGCAUAGUAUCCACUGCAUCUUUGUAAUUGUAACAUGUAUUGACGGUGUCAUAAUUUCGUAAGAGCUCCCAAGAGCAUAGAGAAAUUAAGUCUCUCUUAGCUAUUUCGCUCCAAGUGUUGUUGGCCUGAUGGAGAUGUCUGGUGGAAACAUGGAACAGUGAUGUGGCAGGCAAAGUUUUGUUAGUGUUGUUAACCUUGUACGUAGGGAUGAAAACAGAUCGGAUACGGACGGCUAUCACUGAUAUCGUAUUUGUUUUCAUAUUUGUGUUCAAAUACGGUGUCUGAUACGGAUAGUGUUAGUUUUUGUUGAAUAAGAUUGUAAUAAAUAUCGACAUUAUAAAAAUGUAACUUUUGAGCA